UACGUAGGGCGCAAGCGUUGUCCGGAAUUAUUGGGCGUAAAGAGCUCGUAGGCGGCUUGUCACGUCGGAUGUGAAAGCCCGGGGCUUAACCCCGGGUCUGCAUUCGAUACGGGCAGGCUAGAGUGUGGUAGGGGAAAUCGGAAUUCCUGGUGUAGCGGUGAAAUGCGCAGAUAUCAGGAGGAACACCGGUGGCGAAGGCGGAUCUCUGGGCCAUUACUGACGCUGAGGAGCGAAAGCGUGGGGAGCGAACAGG
rnacentral:rRNA from 1 species